UACGUAGGGUGCAAGCGUUGUCCGGAAUUAUUGGGCGUAAAGGGCUCGUAGGCGGUUUGUCGCGUCGGGAGUGAAAACUCAGGGCUUAACCCUGAGCCUGCUUCCGAUACGGGCAGACUAGAGGUAUGCAGGGGAGAAUGGAAUUCCUGGUGUAGCGGUGAAAUGCGCAGAUAUCAGGAGGAACACCAAUUGCGAAGGCAGCUCGCUGGGACGUUACUGACGCUGAGACGCGAAAGCGUGGGGAGCAAACAGG
rnacentral:rRNA from 1 species